rnacentral:misc_RNA from 1 species
ACAGUUUCAGUUCGUUCUCUAGAAAUGUUAACCCUUGUUCUUACUUUCCUGUCGGUCCCAUUGUUCGUGUUCGGACUUGACUGUUCCGGACUCCCUGACGGAAACUAUGACUGGGAUGUAAAUCGUACGGUGUGUGUACGGGAGGUGCCGUGAAGCUAGUAAACUGCGACCCUGGACAGGUUAUGACGACAACUCAGGAAGUUGCGCAGAUCCUUCCUCUGUAACUGGAAUCUGUAGUCAACGUCGUGACUGCUCUAACAAAGCUGACGGUUUGUAUGCCGAUACAGAAAACCACUGCAAAACUUACUACACGUGUUAUAACGGCGAGUUCAAGGGUCAUAACUUCUGCUCAAAAGUAACGGUGUUCGAUGAGGUACAGCAGACAUGUAACUGGCCGGGAGCUGUAGACCCACCAUGCGGCACGAAAGGCCAGGCCACUACAUCAGCAACCGGUUAAUCCGAUUUAUAUUUAGUCUUUUUAUUCAAAUUAAAUUACAUUCAAAGAC